rnacentral:rRNA from 1 species
AUAGUAGCAAUACUAGAGACCGGCGCACGGGUGCGUAACGCGUAUGCAAUCUACCUUAUACAGAGGGAUAGCCCAGAGAAAUUUGGAUUAAUACCUCAUAGCAUAGCAACUUCGCAUGAAGUCACUAUUAAAGUUCCAACGGUAUAAGAUGAGCAUGCGUCCUAUUAGCUAGAUGGUAAGGUAACGGCUUACCAUGGCUACGAUAGGUAGGGGUCCUGAGAGGGAGAUCCCCCACACUGGUACUGAGACACGGACCAGACUCCUACGGGAGGCAGCAGUGAGGAAUAUUGGACAAUGGGCGCAAGCCUGAUCCAGCCAUGCCGCGUGCAGGAAGACGCAUCUAUGGUGUGUAAACUGCUUUUGUACGGGAAGAAACACUCCCUCGUGAGGGAGCUUGACGGUACCGUAAGAAUAAGGAUCGGCUAACUCCGUGCCAGCAGCCGCGGUAAUACGGAGGAUCCAAGCGUUAUCCGGAAUCAUUGGGUUUAAAGGGUCCGUAGGCGGUUUGGUAAGUCAGUGGUGAAAGCCCAUCGCUUAACGAUGGAACGGCCAUUGAUACUGCCAGACUUGAAUUACUGGGAAGUAACUAGAAUAUGUAGUGUAGCGGUGAAAUGCUUAGAUAUUACAUGGA